GAUGAACGCUGGCGGCGUGCUUAAUACAUGCAAGUCGAACGGACAGGCCCUGCUCUUGUGGGGUUCUCGAUUGCCGCACGGGUGAGUAACACGCGUGUAACCUCCCCUUGACUUUGUGAUAACUUCAGGAAACUCCGGCUCAUACCGCAUAGGAGCUCCUGCUCCAUGUUGUGCGUUGGAAAGUUUCGGCGGUUGGGGCUGGACUCGCGGCUUAUCAGCUUGUUUGUGGAGUAGUGGCUUACCAAGGCUUUGACGGGUAGCCGGCCUGAGAGGGGUACCGGCGACAAUGGGACUGAGAGAGGGAGCAGACGGCUACGGGAGGCAGCAGGGGGGAAUAUUGCAGAGCGGGGGGGAGCCUGAGACAGCGACCCCCGGUGCGGAAUGCCGGCCUACGAGUGGUGAACCGCUGUCUCCGGUAACGAAGCGUGAGUGACGGUAAUGAGUAAAGAAGCACCGGCUAACUACGUG
rnacentral:rRNA from 1 species